rnacentral:rRNA from 1 species
CGCGUAGGCGGUCAGCACAAGUCAGUUGUGAAAUCUCCGGGCUUAACUCGGAAAGGUCAACUGAUACUGCGCGACUAGAGUGCGGAAGGGGCAACUGGAAUUCUCGGUGUAGCGGUGAAAUGCGUAGAUAUCGAGAGGAACACCUGUGGCGAAGGCGGGUUGCUGGGCCGACACUGACGCUGAGGCGCGAAAGCCAGGGGAGCGAACG